UACGUAGGGUGCAAGCGUUUAAUCGGAAUUACUGGGCGUAAAGCGUGCGCAGGCGGUUGUGAAAGACAGAUGUGAAAUCCCCGGGCUUAACCUGGGAAUUGCAUUUGUGACUGCACGGCUAGAGUGUGUCAGAGGGGGGGUAGAAUUCCACGUGUAGCAGUGAAAUGCGUAGAUAUGUGGAGGAAUACCGAUGGCGAAGGCAGCCCCCCUGGGAUAACACUGACGCUCAGGCACGAAAGCGUGGGGAGCAAACAGG
rnacentral:rRNA from 1 species